rnacentral:lncRNA from 1 species
GUACUGAUGGACGGACGGCGACUAAGGAGAGGGGGGAAAAAAUCCUUGGCUGGUGAUGUCGGAAAGCUGUUUGAAUGCCCAGCGAGGAGGGAGGCGCGAGAGGGAGCGAGAUAGUAAAGCUCUGUCUCGGGUGUGCGCGCCGGCGCGCGGUGCUCGCCGGCGCGCGGUGCUCGCUCUCCCUUCGGCGCGCGCGCGGGGGGUGCGCGUGUCCCGGGAGCGCGUCCGCGCGGCGGCCUCCCGCGUGCUCGUGUGCGCGCGCGUCCCGGGUGCCGCGCGCCCCUCUUAUGCACAGCUGCGGUGCGCCCCGCCGCCCGCCAGAGGCUCGGCUCGCGCGGCGCGGCCGCUGCGACUUCCUGGAGUUCUGCCUGCCGGGGGCGCGGGCGGGUGUGUGAGAGAGAAGGCGAAGGGAGCCGCGGGGUGGGAGAGGAGGGAGUCCCGGCGGGAGGGCGGGGGAGAGACUGGCGGGAGGGGGGCUCCACGGAGCUCCAGCCAGGGCCGCGGUGCGCCUGCACGUCACGGCUACUCAAACCCAAGCACGUCCCGAAAGCGGUAUUUUCUGCGUCUGGGAGGUUUUUGCAUCCUCAGUUCCCACCGCUGGGGCUGGCGGCGACCAACUGCUUUGUCAGGAUCGCGGUGCGGCGACCGACGUUGGGCUCUUGCAUUGCUUUCUGCUUGGCAAUGGAAUCAUGGUUUCGGGAUAGUCAUUUUGCCUCCUGGACAGUUGGCUGACGAAGUGUCUGAUAAACCAGCUUCAGAUACAUGCUACAAAAGAAGUCCCACUUUAUCAUUAAUGAUGACAAUAACUAAAGCUGCCAGGAACAGCACAUCUGCUGAGCUUUAUCAACACCAGGUAUUGAAGUCUAUGGACUACCUAUUAUUUCUGAACAUUUAUUCAUGUUCAGUCCUGUUUCUACCAAUUCUGAUCCACUUAUCUCUACCAUUUCUCUUCCUGGCAGAUUCUCUCAUUUUGCCUUCUGGAUCUCCAUGCUUUUUUAUACCAACAAACAAGAGGAAGAAUAUUCUCUACCCACUUCCUUGA